CACCAGCUGUUUCUCAAUGUCAAGGAAGGAUCCUUCGAAGCCAGAAUUUGGAGGAUGCUACGUCAUCGAUGUCCGUCGAAGGACCGUUCCAAUGUCGAGGAUCCUCCGAAUCCCACCAAGGACUGAGUCCUUCGUUCUGAGAAUUUCCCAUAGACGGCAAAGGAUGCAUAUGUGUAUCCUUCGCGCUCCUAUAUUACCCACAAUCCUAUGCGCACGGCUUUUCCAGCUCGUUAAAAAAAAUAAAAAUGCCGGACCUAAGCGGAGUGACGGGGCAAUAUGCUUUUAAAUGGACUUAGGAACAAACGGAGACGUUUAUACGUCUCCGUUUAGAAAAAUAGCAGCUGUUUACCAGGGGGAGGGACACCGCGGCCAACGGAUAUCGGCUUAUUUUGGAGAAGAUGGGGAUCGGAGGGAGGGUCACCCAGGCCAAGAAGAAGUAGGACAAUCUGAAGAUGAAGUACAAUGUGGGAGAUAUUGUACUUUGGGGGUAUUAAUAUAUGGACAUUAUUGUUAUACACAUCUUAAUGUAACUUGUGAUUUUUGAAGUAAGCCUUGGAUGGAGAGAGUGGAUCCACUCCUACAGCUACUGAAGGAGGACAUAAAAUACCAGAGGGAGGCAGAUGAGAGGAGGGAAGCAGAGGCCAGAGAGAGGUCAAAUAGAUUUUUUUCAUUGUUGGAGAGGU